rnacentral:rRNA from 39 species
UUAAAUUGAAGAGUUUGAUCAUGGCUCAGAUUGAACGCUGGCGGCAGGCCUAACACAUGCA